GAUGAACGCUGGCGGCGUGCCUAAUACAUGCAAGUCGAGCGAACAGACGAGGAGCUUGCUCCUCUGACGUUAGCGGCGGACGGGUGAGUAACACGUGGAUAACCUACCUAUAAGACUGGGAUAACUUCGGUAAACCGGAGCUAAUACCGGAUAACAUGUUGAACCGCAUGGUUCAACAGUGAAAGACGGUCUUGCUGUCACUUAUAGAUGGAUCCGCGCCGCAUUAGCUAGUUGGUAAGGUAACGGCUUACCAAGGCAACGAUGCGUAGCCGACCUGAGAGGGUGAUCGGCCACACUGGAACUGAGACACGGUCCAGACUCCUACGGGAGGCAGCAGUAGGGAAUCUUCCGCAAUGGGCGAAAGCCUGACGGAGCAACGCCGCGUGAGUGAUGAAGGUCUUCGGAUCGUAAAACUCUGUUAUUAGGGAAGAACAAAUGUGUAAGUAACUAUGCACGUCUUGACGGUACCUAAUCAGAAAGCCACGGCUAACUACGUG
rnacentral:rRNA from 1 species